AUUGAACGCUGGCGGCAGGCCUAACACAUGCAAGUCGAACGAGUGGCGGACGGGUGAGUAAUGUCUGGGAAACUGCCUGAUGGAGGGGGAUAACUACUGGAAACGGUAGCUAAUACCGCAUACCAUCAGAUGUGCCCAGAGGGGAUUAGCUGGUGGGUGGUGUAACGGCUCACCAAGGCGACGAUCACUAGCGUGUCUGAGAGGAGGACCAGCCACAAGGGGACUGAGACACGGGCCAGACUCCUACGGGAGGCAGCAGUGGGGAAUAGUGCACAAUGGGCGCAAGCCUGAUGCAGCCAUGCCGCGUGUAUGAAGAAGGCCUUCGGGUUGUAAAGUACGUUCAGCGGGGAGGCGUUACCCGCAGAAGAAGCACCGGCUAACUCCGUGCCAGCCGCCGCGGUAAGUC
rnacentral:rRNA from 1 species